UCUUGGUCUCAAGUGAUCCUCCCACCUUGGCCUCCCAAAGUGCUGGGAUUGCAGCUGUGAGCCACCACUCCCAGCCCGCAGCCCUUCUUAAGGUGGCCUAAGCAGGACUCAAAAGAGCCCAGCUGAACCUGGGAGAACCCGGGAAUCAACAGAAGAUUUUCAGCAGGAACUACGGAGCAGUUCACCACCAUAUGAAACACAAGUGGCUUUUAGAGAGAAAGGAUGCUACAGCCUGGCCUUCCUACUCCAGGCCAACAGACAAGGAGGCUCACAGAAGGGAAGCUUGCUUCGAACCCCAAGUACCUCCAAGGUCUCGUAAGACAGCACGACCCUGGACCUUGGAAGGGAGCACAGAUGGAAA